GACGGAGGAUGCAAGCGUUAUCCGGAAUGAUUGGGCGUAAAGCGUCCGCAGGUGGCAGUUCAAGUCUGCUGUCAAAGACCGGGGCUUAACUUCGGAAAGGCAGUGGAAACUGAACAGCUAGAGUAUGGUAGGGGCAGAGGGAAUUCCUGGUGUAGCGGUGAAAUGCGUAGAGAUCAGGAAGAACAUCGGUGGCGAAGGCGGCGCUCUGGGCCGGUACUGACACUGAGGAGCGAAAGCGUGGGUAGCAAACAGG
rnacentral:rRNA from 1 species